CUGGCCCAGACACUCACAGGAGAGCUGUCCCCACCCUGCACUUCACUCAGGAGAGAUGGCCCACCCCUUACCACACAAGAGGGAGAACCGACCUUGAUAUCAUGGAUGUGAACUAGUUCCAUCCCCUCAUCAGAGACUGACCAGCCCAGCUACCACACAGCCCCACAGCUGGGCCUUGGGUUGGCCCAUCGUAACACCUACCCCAUCUAGGACCUGCUGGAGUAUGUGAAGAGACUGGUCCUGUGGAACUCUAUUCCCACGAUCCUCAUGACUCAGGGCAACCUCCGGAUAUCCUAGAGGAGUUUUGGUGAGGAUCCAGAGAUGAUGAUGGACCAGAAACCAGAAUUCUUGAUCCAGACCAAUGACUCCUUGCAAUGAACAUUUGCUAGUAAAGCUGAUAGGACAAAAAUUGGGAGCUAUGUGUCACACAGCUCCCAAUGCCACCAGGAGGUAUGAAGAGGUGUUGGAGAGGAGAAACUCUGAUUUUAUUGGAUUUAAACAGAUCUCAUGUUCAUCAAGAUGCUAGCUGUGUGAACUGGAAUGAGAGAAGCAGGUAGAGGGACAAUCACUCUGGGAGGCUCAGCUGUGAGAGGCACACCCAGUUUCCAGUACUGGCAUAGCAGCUCACAAC
rnacentral:lncRNA from 1 species